UAAUACGUAGGGGGCGAGCGUUGUCCGGAUUUAUUGGGCGUAAAGAGCUCGUAGGUGGCUGUUCAAGUCGGGUGUGAAAUCCCAAGGCUCAACCUUGGGUCUGCAUUCGAUACUGGGUGGCUUGAGUCUGGUAGGGGGACCUGGAAUUCCUGGUGUAGCGGUGGAAUGCGCAGAUAUCAGGAGGAACACCGGUGGCGAAGGCGGGGUCCUGGGCCAGUACUGACGCUGAGGAGCGAAAGCGUGGGGAGCAAACAGGAUUAGAUACCCUGGUAGUCCACGCUGUAAACGAUGGGUGCUAGGUGUGGGGGGUUAUCGACUCCUUCCGUGCCGCAGCUAACGCAGUAAGCACCCCGCCUGGGGAGUACGGCCGCAAGGCUA
rnacentral:rRNA from 1 species